UGAGCAAUCUGCCCUUCUCAUCGGAAUAAGCGUUGGAAACGACGUCUAAUGCCGAAUACGACCUCCUUUCGCAUGAUCGGAGGUGGAAAGCUCCGGCGGAGAAGGAUGAGCUCGCGGCCUAUCGGCUAGUUGGUGUGGGUAAUGGCCUACCAAGGCGACGACGGGUGGCCGGCCUGAGAGGGUGACCGGCCACACUGGGACUGAGACACGGCCCAGACUCCUACGGGAGGNAGCG
rnacentral:rRNA from 1 species